AAGAGGUGAACUCAAGCAGUAGAAAGUUAGAGGUGAUAUUAUAGGACACACUAUGUGUAACUUUGCUGCUCUGCCAGCAGUUUCCUGUGGAGUUUUUCUAAUGUCAGUGUUUCCUGUAUGUAGGUGGGUUUAACUGAUCUUAUCUGCUUAGUUUGUCACGUCAUAUAAGUAGGGAAGUAAUGAGAUAGAAGUCAUAUAGCCUAGCAGUAUUUCUCACUCUUCAGUCCUCUCUUCAUGACAGUAGACUUGUUUCGCUCAGUGGAGCCCCAGUUAGAGGCAGAUAUGAUACCUGCAGUGGUACUGAUGACCCUGUUGUGGAGCAGAGAUCUCCAGGCUCAAAGCGUCAGUCCACCAGCUGAAGACUCAGUCAGACUGGUGGAUGGGACCACUUCCUGUUCUGGGACAGUGGAAGUCUUCUACAGAGGAGAGUGGACAGGUGUAUGUUUUAGGUGGUGGGGAAUGAGGAGAGAUGUUAAGGUUGUGUGUAGAGAGCUGGACUGUGGGAAUCCUGUAUCUGUAUCUAGAGGACCUCUGAUUGAAGAUGGAAGAAGAGGAGUCAGACUAUUUAGUAUUUGUAGUGGAGAUGAGUCUUCUAUUAGAUGGUGUAAAAUCAUAGGAGGACCUGGUGUCUGUGAUGGUGGAUAUUAUCAUCAUGUGACCUGUUCAGGCAAGAGACUGGUC